CUCGGUUCGAGGGGCGCUGGAGCGCACCAACUGUGGCGCCCUGCCUACUUGCUACUGGUACCGAAAGUUAUCCCGCUCGGAUUUGAUUUUUACAGAAAAAGAAUGCUGUGGACAUGAGAAUCCUUGACUUGCAAGGACAGUGGAACUUGAGCAGGAGUGCAGAUCUGGAUGUUGGCCAAGUUGCCCACUAGCACAAGGCGGAGCUGGUGGGAAGGCCACAUGCCUGGUGGGAACCGCUCAGAAUGGUGACUUGGCUCCCAGUCUCUCCGUCUGUCCAGGAGUCACAGGCUGACGUUUUGAUGACCUAACAUGGAUUCACAGUAGCUUCAAGUACAUAGUCGUGUGUCCCAGGACAAGCAGCAGCUGGCUCCUCCUGUUGCUAAAGCACCACAAUCCAUGACAAGCUACUUGUCACUUCAGGGUUCCCUAGGUGAUAAGGAAAUGGCAGCAGGAAAAGCUAAAAGGCCACAUCUGAGGAUUGGAUUCUCUUCACUAUGUAAACUUGAAGAUCUUCUCAGGGCCUCAAUCUCCUAAAUUAUAAAAUGACAGAUUCAAACUGAAAUAUUUCUAUGCAUUUCCAUACCUAGAAUUUUAUAAGUCUAUUUACUUGAACUUAAAUAUUUACUAUGUGUUCUUUGCUAUGGAUAGAAAAAUAAUUGAAUAUAGAGAAGCUAUGUUUCCAGCCACAAGUAACUUUUAUGUAGCAUGAUAGACACCUUUGUAAGCAGCCCAGAUCAAGACAGGCUGUGUGAGUUGGAAAGACUUGGGUUCAAAUACAAUUUUCCUUUUCUAUCUAUGUACCACCUUAAACAAAUUGUCUACCUAAAUGUUAAUUUUCUCAUUUGUAAAAUGAGGUUGAUAAUACUUUUUUAAUAAGAUAUGGAUCAUUGCUGAUACUCAAAUGUUAUUAAAAGUAUUCAGCAAAUGCUUUGAAUAAAUUCACUAUUAAAAAAAAAGAAUACAGGGAUGCCAGCAGGAAAAAUGUAGCACAUGGUGAAAAUUUUAAAAGUGUGUAUGGAAUCAUGGAGUACUUUAAUUUCCAUGUGCUAUUUUCAAAAUCAACUGAGAGGUUUUAUUCCAAAACGCACUGUGCAGUGGUUAAGAAUUUCACAUUUACCGCCAAGAUGGAGACGUAGGUGGAGGAACCACCUUGCCUCUGUGCACAACCAAAUCUAAGAACAACUAUUUUUCACAACAAUCACAACCAAGCCACAUGGAAAAUCGAAAAUACAGAGUCCAAAGACAACUAAAUACUCAGCUAAACCGGUAAGAGAAGCGAAACCAGCAGCGGAGCAGGUUGGCAAGAAAAAAUCCCCGAACAGGUGGUGUGCGGCGCUGAUCGUGGGCUAGCUACCGGAGCACACAGGGAAGAGGCGCAGGGGGCUGUCUCGGUCGGUCGAGCAUCUGCAUGCGGAGAAACCAGUGAGAAGGGAAGCCUGCGCGGGGCAGCAGGCUCGCACAAUUCCGAUCGGAUAAACAAGCCCAGGACGAGUAGUGUGACUGGACGGGCUGGGCUAGCGGAGAGGACUGCCAUUGCUCCCUCUCUGACCACGCCCCCACACACAGCGUCACAAACCAGUGACCUGGGUCGCCCCGUCCUGGUAAACAACUAAGGCUUCGCUCCGAUUACUUAACGGCACGAAUAGACCAAAAAUGGCUCUAGGACAACUCAGAGCCCCAGAACCCAUAGAUCUAAGCGAUGAAGAAAUAGCCAGUCUUUCAGAUGCACAGUUCAAAACACUGGUUAUCAGGAUCCUUACAGAACUGGUUGAUUUUAGUCACAAAUUAGAGAAACAUAUGGAAGCUAAACUAAUCGAAAUGAAUGGUAAUACAAAGGAAACCAAUAGUAAUGGAAAGAAAAUUGGGACUCAAAUCAAGGGAGUGGACCACAAGGAAGGAAAAAAUGAUCAAACAGAAAAGAAUGAAGAAAUAAGAAUUCAGAAAAAUUAGGAAAAGCUUAGGAACCUCCAGGACAUCUUUAAACGUUCCAACAUCCGAAUUAUAGGGGUACCAGAAGGGGGAAAGGCACAGCCACCAGUGGAAAACUUAUUUGAACAAAUAAUAAAGGAAAAUUUCCCCAAACUGGCAAAGGAAAUAGACUUCCAGGAAAUCCAGGAAGCUCAGAGAGUCCCAAAGAAGUUGGACCCAAGAAGGAACACACCAAGGCACAUCAUCAUUACAUUAGCCAAGAUUAAAAUGAAGGAGAGAAUCCUAGAAGCAGCAAGAGCUAAGGGAACAGUCACCUACAAAGGAGUUCCCAUCAGACUGUCAGCUGAUUUCUCAAAAGAGACCUUACAGGCAAGAAGGGGCUGGAAAGAGGUAUUCCAAGUCAUGAAAACCAAAGACCUACAACCAAGACUGCUCUAUCCAGCAAAGUUUUCAUUUAGAAUGGAAGGACAGAUAAAGUGCUUCUCAGAUAAGACCAAAUUCAAGGAGUUCAUCAGCACCAAGCCCUUAUUAUAUGAAAUGUUAAAGGGACUUACCUAAGAAAAAGAAGAUAAAAAAGAUGAACAGUGAAAGGACAGCAAACUCACAGUUACUAACAACCACACCUAAAACAAAAGCAAACUAAGAGGACAGCUAGAUCAGGAGCAGAACCAUAGAAAUGAAGAUCUCAUGGAGGGUUAGC